rnacentral:rRNA from 1 species
UUAAGCGACUAAGCGUACACGGUGGAUGCCCUGGCAGUCAGAGGCGAUGAAGGACGUGCUAAUCUGCGAUAAGCGUCGGUGAGGUGAUAUGAACCGUUAUAACCGGCGAUUUCCGAAUGGGGAAACCCAGUGUGUUUCGACACACUAUCAUUAACUGAAUCCAUAGGUUAAUGAGGCGAACCGGGGGAACUGAAACAUCUAAGUACCCCGAGGAAAAGAAAUCAACCGAGAUUCCCCCAGUAGCGGCGAGCGAACGGGGAGGAGCCCAGAGCCUGAAUCAGUGUGUGUGUUAGUGGAAGCGUCUGGAAAGGCGUGCGAUACAGGGUGACAGCCCCGUACACAAAAAUGCACAUAUUGUGAGCUCGAUGAGUAGGGCGGGACACGUGGUAUCCUGUCUGAAUAUGGGGGGACCAUCCUCCAAGGCUAAAUACUCCUGACUGACCGAUAGUGAACCAGUACCGUGAGGGAAAGGCGAAAAGAACCCCGGCGAGGGGAGUGAAAAAGAACCUGAAACCGUGUACGUACAAGCAGUGGGAGCCUCUUAAUGGGGUGACUGCGUACCUUUUGUAUAAUGGGUCAGCGACUUAUAUUCUGUAGCAAGGUUAACCGAAUAGGGGAGCCGAAGGGAAACCGAGUCUUAACUGGGCGUUAAGUUGCAGGGUAUAGACCCGAAACCCGGUGAUCUAGCCAUGGGCAGGUUGAAGGUUGGGUAACACUAACUGGAGGACCGAACCGACUAAUGUUGAAAAAUUAGCGGAUGACUUGUGGCUGGGGGUGAAAGGCCAAUCAAACCGGGAGAUAGCUGGUUCUCCCCGAAAGCUAUUUAGGUAGCGCCUCGUGAAUUCAUCUCCGGGGGUAGAGCACUGUUUCGGCAAGGGGGUCAUCCCGACUUACCAACCCGAUGCAAACUGCGAAUACCGGAGAAUGUUAUCACGGGAGACACACGGCGGGUGCUAACGUCCGUCGUGAAGAGGGAAACAACCCAGACCGCCAGCUAAGGUCCCAAAGUCAUGGUUAAGUGGGAAACGAUGUGGGAAGGCCCAGACAGCCAGGAUGUUGGCUUAGAAGCAGCCAUCAUUUAAAGAAAGCGUAAUAGCUCACUGGUCGAGUCGGCCUGCGCGGAAGAUGUAACGGGGCUAAACCAUGCACCGAAGCUGCGGCAGCGACACUAUGUGUUGUUGGGUAGGGGAGCGUUCUGUAAGCCUGUGAAGGUGGCCUGUGAGGGUUGCUGGAGGUAUCAGAAGUGCGAAUGCUGACAUAAGUAACGAUAAAGCGGGUGAAAAGCCCGCUCGCCGGAAGACCAAGGGUUCCUGUCCAACGUUAAUCGGGGCAGGGUGAGUCGACCCCUAAGGCGAGGCCGAAAGGCGUAGUCGAUGGGAAACAGGUUAAUAUUCCUGUACUUGGUGUUACUGCGAAGGGGGGACGGAGAAGGCUAUGUUGGCCGGGCGACGGUUGUCCCGGUUUAAGCGUGUAGGCUGGUUUUCCAGGCAAAUCCGGAAAACCAAGGCUGAGGCGUGAUGACGAGGCACUACGGUGCUGAAGCGACAAAUGCCCUGCUUCCAGGAAAAGCCUCUAAGCAUCAGGUAACAUCAAAUCGUACCCNAAACCGACACAGGUGGUCAGGUAGAGAAUACCAAGGCGCUUGAGAGAACUCGGGUGAAGGAACUAGGCAAAAUGGUGCCGUAACUUCGGGAGAAGGCACGCUGAUAUGUAGGUGAAGCGACUUGCUCGUGGAGCUGAAAUCAGUCGAAGAUACCAGCUGGCUGCAACUGUUUAUUAAAAACACAGCACUGUGCAAACACGAAAGUGGACGUAUACGGUGUGACGCCUGCCCGGUGCCGGAAGGUUAAUUGAUGGGGUUAGCGGCAACGCGAAGCUCUUGAUCGAAGCCCCGGUAAACGGCGGCCGUAACUAUAACGGUCCUAAGGUAGCGAAAUUCCUUGUCGGGUAAGUUCCGACCUGCACGAAUGGCGUAAUGAUGGCCAGGCUGUCUCCACCCGAGACUCAGUGAAAUUGAACUCGCUGUGAAGAUGCAGUGUACCCGCGGCAAGACGGAAAGACCCCGUGAACCUUUACUAUAGCUUGACACUGAACAUUGAGCCUUGAUGUGUAGGAUAGGUGGGAGGCUUUGAAGUGUGGACGCCAGUCUGCAUGGAGCCGACCUUGAAAUACCACCCUUUAAUGUUUGAUGUUCUAACGUUGGCCCGUAAUCCGGGUUGCGGACAGUGUCUGGUGGGUAGUUUGACUGGGGCGGUCUCCUCCUAAAGAGUAACGGAGGAGCACGAAGGUUGGCUAAUCCUGGUCGGACAUCAGGAGGUUAGUGCAAUGGCAUAAGCCAGCUUGACUGCGAGCGUGACGGCGCGAGCAGGUGCGAAAGCAGGUCAUAGUGAUCCGGUGGUUCUGAAUGGAAGGGCCAUCGCUCAACGGAUAAAAGGUACUCCGGGGAUAACAGGCUGAUACCGCCCAAGAGUUCAUAUCGACGGCGGUGUUUGGCACCUCGAUGUCGGCUCAUCACAUCCUGGGGCUGAAGUAGGUCCCAAGGGUAUGGCUGUUCGCCAUUUAAAGUGGUACGCGAGCUGGGUUUAGAACGUCGUGAGACAGUUCGGUCCCUAUCUGCCGUGGGCGCUGGAGAACUGAGGGGGGCUGCUCCUAGUACGAGAGGACCGGAGUGGACGCAUCACUGGUGUUCGGGUUGUCAUGCCAAUGGCACUGCCCGGUAGCUAAAUGCGGAAGAGAUAAGUGCUGAAAGCAUCUAAGCACGAAACUUGCCCCGAGAUGAGUUCUCCCUGACUCCUUGAGGGUCCUGAAGGAACGUUGAAGACGACGACGUUGAUAGGCCGGGUGUGUAAGCGCAGCGAUGCGUUGAGCUAACCGGUACUAAUGAACCGUGAGGCUUAACCUU